AAAAGUCGUAACAAGGUCUCCGUUGGUGAACCAGCGGAGGGAUCAUUACCGAGUUUACAAACUCCCAAACCCCUGUGAACAUACCUACGUUGCUUCGGCGGGAGAGCCCCGGCGCCUCAGUGCCCGGAGGAAGGCGCCCGCCGGAGGACCCAAACUCUUGCAUUGCUGUGGAUUAUCUGGGUGGCGCAAGCAAAUAAAUCAAAACUUUCAACAACGGAUCUCUUGGUUCUG
rnacentral:misc_RNA from 1 species